GCUGGGUGUGGUGGCACACGCCUGAAAUCUCAGUGCCUUUGGAGGCUGAGGCAGGAGGAUCUGAGUUCACAGCCAGCCUCAGCAAAAAGUGAGGCGCUAAGCAACUUAGUGAGACCCUGUCUCUA
rnacentral:sRNA from 1 species